GCGCAAUAAUAGAAACUACCCAGGAUUCCCUUAGUAACGGCGAGUGAACUGGGAAGCAGUGCAUACGUCGCGUAAUCUAUUACGUGUUCGUAGCUCAGCCCGUCGAUAUAAUCCAUUCUUAGCUGUCGUACUUCGGUACCUCCGCUGGAAGGAAUUGUAGCAUCGAAAGCAUUCAAGUUGUAUUCAUCACAGCAGUCAUAUACAUAUGCACACACAUACACACCCACGCUGCUCUGCAAAAAGUGUCAUGUAUAUCAUAUAUACGAUUCAAACACACAGCGUUUAGCGCUGGAAAGCAAUCCUUGUAGUUUUACUACAGCCAUAGAGUGUGACAGCCACGUUUUAUGGAAUUUGAUAUACGCUCGUAACACACAUACGCAAGCAGUCUCCAAUGUAUGUAUGCCCGCUGAAUACGUAAUUCGUGAAUGUUGACCCUGAGUCGAGUUGUUU
rnacentral:rRNA from 1 species